AAAAGUUAGUAAUAUAUCGUUAUUGCCUUUGUCAGAAAACAUAUCACGACAGCUGUGAUAUUUCGUUUGUGGAAUAACGUGUACAAUUUUUAGAAAAUUCAGAAUUGUUCUCUUAAAUUAUUCAUUCGAAUAUUCCGAAUUGAAUACCAAUGGUCGUUUCUAUUUUUUGAAAUUCCGCGUAUUCUCCAGUUUUGAAUAAAAGGCCGCAGAUCGUGUCGUUUUGAAAUUUGCCGAAUGCAUAAAUAACGCUCCGCGGAUGACGAAAUCGUUAACAACUUUGAAAGUCAAUCGCAAACACGAAUUCAAACUAUAUCCUCGAUCAUUUCGAAAUACAUAAGUGUACAGCAGCUGACUCAGUUCUACAAUAUUAUCAAAACGUUAUUAAUCGCAGAAGCCGCAUUUGCACGUGUUUUCCUAUAGCCUUCGAACUUCUGAAAAGUCAAUUACAUAUAUUUACACUGGAGAUGCAUGUAAGAUUUCCAAAAAGUUUGCACAGAAGUUGCGAGCGUUUCCCUUGGGAUGGAUUAAUUAACAAAGUUACAAAACCAUUCCUCUGCUGAUUUAUGUAAUUUCAAAUCCGAAAGUAUUAAAAUAAUCUCGUUUUACAACAACUGCAUUUCGUCCCUCUGUUGAAUGCACAGAAAUUCUCGCUCAUAACGCUUGCAAAUGUUAAAUCAUGAAAUUCAAAAGUCUGCAAGCUCGGAGUCUCCUUCCUGAAUAACAACCACAAUUCAAAUCGCAUUCACGAUUCCUUCCGACGUUUCGCGAAAAAUCCAGAGCUUACCCGCACUAACUUCGUACUUCUGGAGGGCACACUAUCUCACGCAGACUACAUACACCUACAGUAUCUCCCAGUUGCAAGCACAAAGCUCGGUCGCGCGCCACAUCCCCUAACGAGGGAUUUAUUAGCUCGACUCUCUCAGAGCUUUCUCAGUAUACGAGGAUGCGAGUCGCGGCCGUUCGUUAAUCGAAGGCGACGUUAUCGGAUUUCUCGCACGCGCCAGUGUCGCAAGCUCCGCAGCGAAGCUUUCCGCGUGAGGACGCGCGCUCCGCGGUGAUGUUUUUUUAAUUGGUGUAGGUGUGGGAGAGAGCUAGCUGUGAAAAUGGAUUUUGAUCGUUACCUACUUUUGAAGAAAGAAUAAUUUAUUUAAAUAUAACAAAUGCUCACUAACGUUAUACCAAAACAACGUUUAAUCACGCCUCUUUGCUCCGUAAUUAUCAGAAUCACAGCCCGGAUUCACGAAGAUUCAGCCAUUUAAACCGAUUUGGCAAGGAAUGCACCAUCACAGCUAUAAAGCCUCACCCGCCCUCGGAAAUCCAACGCGCCAGUUUCAGCUCGCGACCCUAUCCCGGAAUGAUUUAGCGUACGCCCCCUCUCCCCCGGAAGCUCUUAUAGCGGAAUUUAUCUUAAUUCGCACAGUCGAACUGCUCCUUCGCUUUUCCGGCUAAUGGGCCGAUUAGUCGGCGAAUAAUCGCGUCCGGUUUGCGCUAUAUAACUUCUUCUCUUCGGCGAUGUUUUCGCCGAUGCGCUCUUGAUCGUGUUUUUCGACGCGGCGGAGGUCGAAGCGAAAACAAUAUAUUAAUUAACGCUGAUUGAAUUCUCGCGAGCUUUCGAAGAAAAACACGGCUUCGUUAUGAAAUUUGUCGAAAUGGCCGCUGCCAAUUGAGACGCUUAUACGGAACAUCGACGAGGUAUGUCGAACGAUUUAAUUUCUAUAAUGCAAUUAUCGAAUCGAUCACGCUUGCUUGGAUAAUGAAAUGGCGAAUUCGAUUUUCGCAUCGGAAUUAUAACUGCGUAAGAUAACCUCUUGUUAAAUUCUAUACUCGCGAACCAAAAUUAUUUUAACAAAUUUAAUAACAUUGUUGAAAAACCGCCGACGUUUUGCAGCUUCGGGGCUGAAUCUAAAAGUAACAUUAGAUUUUUAAUUACUCAGUAUGAACUUUCGUAAUUUAUGGGGGAAAAAUUGCGUAACUAACAGGGCGAACUCCGCUUUCACGACUUUGAUUGUGAACUUGCUGCGCGUGAAAACGCUUGAAAGCGGAAGCCUGCAAUCCCCAAAGGAAAACUUACUCCUGCUGUGCGGUGUGUUUCUGGAGGGUAGACGAACUGGCGUCCGGCACUUUUUACUCUGAAUAAAGUAGAGCUUGUUAAUUUGCGUUAAAUGCCUACUUGGCAAUCGGGCGGAUCGAUAGUUUACAACUUCAGCUUUUGAACAUUUGAAGCUUUAUAAUACAUAAGCUUUUGAACUUGAUAAACUUUGAACUGAUUUCUUUACAAACGAACGUUCGAAACAAACGUAGCUUCCCUUUAAAAAAUGAAUUACUCGAAAACGAGUUUCAUAAGAUACUAUAGCGUCGCCAGUCUUCCGAGCAAAAAACAAACAUCGCAAUCAUAACACGCCGUUAUAAAACACGAACGCCACGAGCAGCGAUACGCAGCCGCUCCAGCGAUCAAAGACAACUAAUUCAAUACACACACAGAGAGGCGGCAACAGCGCGGACGGCAGUUUUCUACCUCGUUAAAUACCGUUCGAUUGUUCGCGUCUGGAAAAGACAUUCGGUCUCGGCAUUUCCUUCGCCCGAGUCAUUGGCUGCAUUAGGCAAAUGAGAAAACCGUCUCGACGCGCAGCAAACUCGAUGACCCGUUUGCGAUUCCAUCGAUCGCUCCAAGAUUCAUGUUUAAUUUCCCGGCGAGCGAUGAAGUUUCCCCGGUGACACGCACUCGUCAAGCGAUGCAUCGACUUGCUCGGCGUUUAUUAUCCGAGAAUCGCAGCGACCGUAAAUCUGCCGAUCCCCAGUAAUCUACGACCUCGACGCGCUUCGAAUACCCGGAGUUUCGGGAAAAAAGGAACGAGGCUCUAGCAAUAUCCCGGCAUUAGUCUUCUUCUCUCUCCUCGAACUUUGAUGAAACGCCGCGCCGUUAUCACUUUUCACGUCGGCCAUGUGCGUCGAGAGCUUUAUUACCCGGUGAAACGCUAUCGCGCGAUUAUCGAGGCUAAUGAAGUAUUUCUGCGUUCUUUUGCCAUAACGCGUGAGUGAUUAUCGCGGGCGUAUAUAGGGUGUAGGUACAGCGCUAAAAAUACGAGGAGGCAUUGAAUGAAUGGUCUAUUUUCGUACUUUGCGUAUUUCGGUGAUAGCAUCGACGUGUGUUGCCCGUUGGCGGAAUUCAGCCGAGUUAUUAUAGUUCAUUUUUUCUUGAGAAUAGGUCGGCGUUUGCAUCGAAUGCCUCGUUAAUUCGCAUGAUGCGCAAAAAUAGCCGCUAAUUGGAGGAAUAAUAUUGUUUCCCGGAAGAGCAUGCGCUGGACAAUAGAUUAAAAAUUAUAUUUAAUUACGAAUAAAAAUAACAAGGCUAGCACUGUGUAUAGGUGACGUAACACCGUGAGCCAAGCGUGAAAAUGACACACGCGCAAGGGCGCAAGGUCAAGAGGGGCGGGAAAGGGAUUGAUUUUCUACUAGCGUGCAUCGCGAGAAUUACACUCAAAUGAGGAGUUGCUUCGGCUCGACUUUUAGCCUAAUGACUCGCGGAAGGUGCGAAAUAAAAUCUUUGACCCUUUUACGUCAAUAAGAUUUACAGCACGAAGUGACUACACCACAUCGCUUUUGCGUAAUUUAUAUGCUGCUACGUCUGCACUCUAAUGACAGGAAUAUAAAUUGGAAACGAUAUUUCAGUUAUUAUUCAAAUGCUUGCCAUAGCGAAUUUCGCGCAAUUAUUCUGCGAAUGCAUACUAUAUUAUAGUAUAAUAAUUUUAAUUAGCAUAACAUUAUCCACACGUGUACGCAUUUUUCAGUUCGCGAAAUAAAGUCAUAACGAGCACACGAAUUGAAAAUUCGAAUUAGCCGGUAAAACAAGCCGUCCGUGUACAUACAAUCUUAAUCGCGAUACGAAUGCAAAUAGCCCUUAUCUAGCUCAACUGCAGAGAGAGAGAGAGAGAGAGAGAGAGAGAGAGAGACCGCCAAAACCCGAUAAACAGCGUUGGCUCCUUAACAUCCCUCGAUUAAAAACAAUAAAUCGCCGGCGAGUCGAACCUCGCGAGCAAACAGUAGUACUCAUUUUAGGUCAGGCAAACACAGCACUUUCUAUAUAUACGUCCGCAUUUCCUCUGGAAAAUAUAAUUCGAGGAAUUAUCUCCGAAUCAGACCGCGAUUCAAGGCAGCCGGGGAGGAUUUCAUACGAUAUACCAGCGUUGCGACUUUGGCAAUAAAUAACGGCGCCACACACGUUUGUAUAUACUGCGUCGCGUACACAAGGUCCUCACGCGAAGCGAUUUCUCUUCCGCGCGCGCGCAACUUCGAUCGAUCAAAAUCCUCACGCAUCGGAUUCCUCGCGCGACUCCUUCCGUCUAUUUGUCUCUCCGGUGGCCCCGCAGCUCGCUUGAUUGCCGUGUGUCGUCGGGUAACGAUUUUCCCCGGAAUAUCUCGCCGUUCGUCUUGAUGCAAGCCGAUGCGCUUCGCUGCUUCUUGGCUGUGGAUGAGAGAAGUGAAUUAUAUUUUUGAAUGUUUUAUACGCGGAAGUGUGGGUAUAGGUCGGGCCGAAGUUUUUCGCUGAUUGAUGAUCGAUAGGAUGAUAUAGCGAAGGGAAGCGGUUCCAUCGGACUAGUUUCGAGUCGGGGGUAUAGGUUUCAGCGAAAAGUAAAAAAUAAAAACCAAGAAUCGAAUCCUCCCUCUCUACCACCCCAGCAUCGAGUGAGCAGCGACUCUCGACGUUAAACCCCACGUACACGACGGAGCUGCCUCGACUUUAAUUACAGCUCUCGCGGUUAUUUACCGUUGCUUCGUUCCGCGGUCUUCUUAUGUACUGCGCCCGACUAUCGUUCCACCAAAUGGCAUAGCAAACUCUCUUCCUCGCAGCUGCUCUUGUUCUACUCGAAUUAGAGUACAGUGGGCAGCGUCGUUAUUGAUGCCACCUCUAAAUCCUCCCGAACGGCAAUUUCAUUCCGAUGCGGUCACUUUUACUCGCCCAGUAGAGAUUUACGUACCUAUAGACUCGCCGAAACUGUAUUUAUUUUCGUUCGCGAAAAAGAAGAAGAUUUUUCAAUCUACGAGAACACGCGGAUAACGGACUUGGCGAAAACCCGAAGUACCUAUACAGGAAUAACCAUUUUCCGAUAACCGCGACGGGCGGCGUAAUAAGCAUAAAAGAGAUAGAGGAGAAAGCGAGGGCGUAUUUACGGCGUCAACUUUUCGUCGAGAUGAGAGGGAGCGUCUGGUAAUUGAAAAAGUAAUUAGCGAGCGGAAAACUAAGUCAAUAUAUCGUGUCGAAUUGGCGAACGAAUUUCGAAAAACUAAGCAGCUUUUUCAGUACACAAGUUUUUAAUAUUCCGUCGGACAAUUACACUCGCGAAAUUCGCGGAAACGGCCGAGGCGUAUAAUACACGGAACAAUAAAUCGCUAUGAAUGAAAAAGUUUCAAAGAGUUUCCUGCUGGGGACGAGAGAAAAAGUUUGAGAAUAUCAUGAAAUUUCCAUCGACGCUGCUCUGUUUUGUAAAAAGCCAUGACCCACUAACACGUUAAUAAAAGCUUUUUGCGCAGGUGAAGAGAGCUUACGCGCUGGCGAGGAUUUUUCUUGGGACGCGCGCGCGCGGAGAGGAACCUUUUUACUCGCCGGGGAGGGAGGGCGGUAGAGAGAAUUUUCAAACUUUUCCCGCCCGACGAUACACGCAGUGUAUAUACGGUAAAACUUGUUCGAGAAGGUUAGAUUGAUCUAAUGGCUCGUAAAAAAAGUGGCCGCCAACAAACUACUCGGCGCAAUUUCGGGACGUGUAAUUUUUCCCGCUAAUUUAAUUGCCCUCGAAUCCUGCAGUGUGUUUGUUUUACAUUGUAAUAACAACACUGCCGACGUGUUAUUCUACGUUAUUACGAUUAAUUUAAAUUUAAUGAUACAUCUCGACGCGUUGGGGAAAUUGCCCGGCGGAAAAUUCGGCUUUGAAUUUUCGCUCGUGUGUCAACAAUCGAAAUAUUACAAAUUACGAAGCCAGAGGCCUUCGCAUAUGUGUUUACGAGUCGCUCUUUACGCCAAAUCGAUGCAGAAAAUUGGUCAGCGAAAUCGAUACGCGCUACUACAGUUAUGCGAAUAUUCAGGCUAUGCAACUAUUUUCCCCGCUAGAAUGUGUAAACGUCGGUUGCAGCGUUGUUGAUUUACAAUUAUUUUAUUCAAGUACUAUCUAAAACGAAGAAAUUCCAAAAGUAGGUCAAACCAUCAAAUCCACCAGUCCGAAUCAUCGCGACGUCCCCAUAUAACCGCACAGUCGAAUAAAUCGAUAAAACUUCGCUCGACCAAAUGAAAUCCGCAAACGUUGACUGCCGGCCAACUUCCGAAAGUUCCUUUCGUUCACGCGCUCGGGAUAUGCUAAUCGCUGUACGUCGAGAGAUUCCUCGAGACAAACACAGCUGUGCCAACGGGGGUGUCGCGUUUCACUCGUUUUCCGGCCCGUCGAAUCGCCGCAAAUCUAGAGAUGGACUAUGCAGCUUCAAAUUUUACCAACAUUCGAUUAAUUUAUUCAUUCGAAGCUUCAGUUAUAAGCGGAUAAGUUAUGCAGCUAACAUUUAACAAACAAGAGCUCAAAGCUCGCGCGAGCGUUAACAGACACAAAGCGAUGCGUAAUUCGAUUUCAGCCGGCCCCUAAUUAACUUAUGAAUAAACACCGCAUGAAUAUUUACGACACGCGGCGAUGAUAACCAGUUGCCGCAUAAUAAAUCGCGCGAAAUCGACGAGCGCUAUAUACUCCGUCGAGUUUAUCCGAUGGUUAACAAGUGCAAACAUCGACUCUCGUCGAUGAUAAAUCACGCGUGUCUCCGCGUCGGGGCAAAGCUUUAUUUGAACGGAUCGAGGACUCGAUCUGCCGUCCAAACAGGUUGAUUGAAAGAUGCGUCUCUGUCGGAAUUGAAAUGCGCGAAACCGAUGCUUAUACGCUUGAAAUAUUACGUUCGAUCUGCCGAACUGCUGGAAAUUACGGUAUUACACUCGACCGUCGCGAUUGUAUUCUAUAUACAUGCUCUCGAAAGCUCACUCCAAUUAUCACUACUUUGUGGUAUAAUCAGCGGAUGCCUUUGCCAACCCAAGCGAAUUCGAUUCGCGUGAUUCCGCACACACACAUGGGUUCGUGUGCAUCAGGGUCAAGUCUCGUCACGUUUCUCAGAGCUGAAAGCUUUCAUGUAGUAACGUACGUGUAUACGUAUCGCUGAUAUUACACCAAUUUGCAUAAAAGUAUAUAUACACACGCAUAUACAUGGCAGCGCUAAUUGAGGAUCUUGUUUCACGCCGCGGCUAGUUGCGAAACAGAUCAAUCGCCCGCACAAAUUAAUCGCAAAGGGCAAAUUAUAUCAUUCGCUGAAAGCUAUAACGUAUACGUUUUGCUGGCUUGUAAAAAGCAACAGGAGCUGCUGCGAGUACUACGUAUGUACACACGCGAUCGAUUUUUGCACUGCACAUAUACCCGUAUGAAUAUUCCGAUUAACCCGAUUUGCAUAUGAUUAGGCUCGAGCACACACACUUGUACACUUUAUCAGCCGAGCAGUUAUGGAAGAAUUAAUUCACGCCGAUCGAGCAAUCAGCGUUUAUUUUCAAUUCUCUUUUACGACAUAAUUGUAAUAAUAAAUACAACUCGCGCACGCGCGAAACUGCCGCGUUGAAUUCCGUAUUAAGCUACUGGCUUCUCUGCACGGCCGGAAGAAAUAAUCUGAAAUUCCAGAGGCAUUAUUCAGAUUUGGCUAUACACAGCCUCUCUCGCAAAAUCGAUGCUAAAUAAACCCCCUCAUGUAUGCUGGCUGCUGUACACUUGCGCGUACGCGCGUUUUAUAAAUAAUUCAGCCCUCGCAUAGCGCCAGCCAAUGAACGGCUCUCGCUCGGCUGCUGCGAUGCAUUUUCGGUGAAGCUAUAUGCACGAGCCUUUCUUAUUACCGGGGCGCAAAGAAGCCUCGUGAAAUCUUUAUCGUCUGUUAGGCGAAACGCUGUCGUUAUUAUUUAUCGCUAUAUAGUGUGCAGCGCACUGGGAGGCGGGAUUUUUUUGCGGGAAUUGCUGUAUAGAGCGGUUGAUGCUUGUUUUUCGCGCUGUGUCGUGGGCUGUUUGCGUUGGACGUAGUGAGCAAAUUGAAUUAUGAUUAUACGAUUCGGUUUUGUUUGUAUUGUGAUUUUUAUGCUUAUCGAGACGCAUACCGGAUGUAAAAUUUGAUGACAUCUAUUAUUGUUAUCACGCGCGAGGUUAACAAUGGACAGCAGGUCAGAAAGUUCGUCCUGGUGAAGUUUUAAUGAGGUUUGCUUAUUCAAUUUCACGAGUCGUCGUUGUCGUGUAUAUCCAUUAUAUUUCUUACAAAACUCUUUUGAGACGUCGCGGGGGAAAAUCAGAAUGUACUUUUCUUUAAUUUGAAAUUCUCGACGCAAACACAACUCGAGCAUUUAUAAUUAAAGAGUAUUACAAUUUCCAGCGAGCGAGGGAUCAAAGUUUUAAUUAUACGCAUAGUCACUUAUUAUGUAGUUUUAAUAGAGACGGUAGUAGCGUAUUAGCGAAUACUUUCAGCUUUUCUUCGCGAAAUUCCAUUAAUAAGAGCGACGACGACGUCGAGAGAGAGAGAGAGAGAGAGAGAGAGAGGCAAUGGGCCGACGUAAGGCGAGGAAUUUCAAAUAGUCGAUGAAAUAUUUAAAUGUUUUACUGCGCGCGCAAAGCUGAGAGAGAGAGAGAGAGAGAGAGAGAGAGAGAGAGAGAGAGAGAGAGAGAGAGAGAGAGAGAGAGAGAGAAAGAGAAGCAAGUUGGCGUACGCUUAAGAAAGUAUUAUAAUUAGGCCACAGGAUUUCGUGACGAUCUUGAUAAAGAGAGAGGAAAGUUUUUACUGCUUCUCGGUAUAGCGGCAGUAUCAAAAGAAAAUCGCUACACACAGCUCUGUACACGUUAUACGAGACUAUACUUUUUACUGGCCUCUAAUCGACGUUUUGCUCCUUCAAAGCUGAUUCCGAAAGCGACUAAAAAAACGUAUUUCCUCCUUUACAUAAAGUAUGCAACGAAGAUGGCUAUGAAUACGCUUGAAAGGGGUAUUUAAUUUUUAAAGCCUCUGACGACGCGCUUCGGGGAAAAUUUGAAUCUCCCGCCAAAAUCACAACUACUGCAUAUAGUACACAUACUAUAAUAUCAGGCUACAAUUAAAAUAAAUUUGAUUCCCGAGAGAAAAAUAAAACAUGACCACCACGAGAGUCAUAACUCAGAACGCCAGCGCAGCAGCUUCUAUUUUUCACUUUCCCGCCGCGGCGCUAAAAGCUCAGAAAUUACAUAAGCUCCUAUGCACAUAGAGCACAGCCGAGAGAAAAAUCAGCGUCAUCCUGAAAGUUUUUAACGCAAGCGCUCUGCGCAAACGAUUCUGCUUCUUAUACACGCGUCUUAAGACGUUGUUAAGCGCGAGAAAGCUUUCCUCGCAAAGCACCUAUUACGAUUACGACAAGGGCUCGCGCGAGCCGUACUUUCGUAAUUCUAAGGAUAAUUUCCAAAGCACGCGGAUUUGCAGAAUCGGAAACGUGCCGCCGCUCUCGGCCCUUGUAUAGCUACGGUAAAUUAAUAAGCUUACACGAUUGCGCGCUCCUCUGUGUGUGUGUGUAAUUGAAUUUAACGAAAUUUCGAGUGUACCGGGUUAAUUAUCCGACUCACAUAUUGAAUGUGAAACGCUACGUACGCUUGGCACCGGGCCGUGGGUGGAAAAAAGUGCACCUGGCCCAAGCCGUAUGGCUACAGAGGGGAGAACGCGAGGGAAAGUGAAGGGACAGCUGCGACCAUAUGCUACUACCCUAGCAGAUGAGUCAGUCCACUGAGAGAGCUGGCAGUGUGAAGACGUAGUCCGUGACUAUAGCAGCAAUGCCGCGGGUCAGCAAGCCUAGGCGAACCAGCAAAGACCGGGGACAGCGUCGGCUAAGGCAGGAGAACGUCUCGUACGGUCAACAUAAUUAUAGAUCGGAAGAUUAGUUAUAAUAUACGCGAUAUUGCUUCUAUUCAUAAACACAAAUAUGUCACGAACUUGCAACGAAAAAAAAUAUUUCAUCAUUCAAAACAAAAGCGUAGUCAAGUCGCUACUACAGUAUAGGAACACAUCUAUUGCAUUCCUGAGUUUAUUGGUUGCGACAACCGCUGCUUUGGUCGUCAUGCAACUCUUCAGACUUGUAUUAGGCAUUCGCUCAUUGAAAACAUGAAUUGUUUUGGCACUUGUAAUUUACACGAUACAAUUCAUGGGGCUCUAUUUCAAUGAGCGAAAGGACCUGUCCAAGUGAAUCGAGGACAACUUCCAGAGACAGCGAGUUGCCACCAAUUUCCUGAGAAGCAUCGGACUACGCCGACGUCGGAAAUUUUGGAACUUCUAUAUAUACGAAUCAGAUGAAUGUCUUAACACUUGCGAGAAAAUUCACGCACAAAAUUUUGUAAAUUCAGCAUCUGCUGUAAACUGCUGGAACUACCCGGAAAUGUAUAGAUAUACAGGUGCAGUUAAAGUGCUGAUAACCUAUAGCUCCGCUAGAGGGCUACCCGUAACACCAAAGCAAAGUGGACAUCUCAAGGGUAUAGUCGACCAGCCUUGUACUCACCAAUCUUUUGUACUACCGACGGCCAGUUUAACACAAACAGAUGUAUCAAUUAAUAAAAUAAACCAUGAUAAAUAAAUAAAACGACCAGCAAUGAAAAAUAGUGUAUUUCCUCAGUAAUUAGUUUUUAUCACCCAAAUCGCCUUGA